GCUAAAACUCAACAGGUGUGCAGAGGGAAACAACCAGACAAGACUACAGGACAACAUGAAGGACAAAAGAGCAUGAAAACCAAAAUGCCGAAACACAAAUAGUCCAUCAGUAGUGUCCAGAUGCUGGACAUGUCAUGGACGCCCUGGUGCUGCACUACUAGAAUGUUCUGACUCAGCCUGAGCAACAUAGAUACAGGGCCAAAGAGUGAAGGCUGUAAAGCCUGGGAAAAGGUUUGACAGAUAAUCACCGAUCCACUGAUCACAUUGUGGACACGUCCUAUCUUCCAAAAAUGUCUGUCUUAGGCUGCAUCUCCGCUGAGACAAACCACUUGAGGAGAGCAACCAUGUGCAAAGAAGGAGUCUGUGGAGCCUUUGAGGGGGAGCUUGAGUUUCUCCAAGUGGAGGCACAACAUGGAUCAUCACUCAACUCCACUUCAAGUUACUAUUAGUCUUGGAGGCAGAACCAUGACCCAUGGACGUCACUUGCUGUAGAUGCUGGAGAUUAAAUCCAUCACUUUUUAAGGUUAACAGUCUCCAGAAAGUGUUCGAAACUUAGGUGCCAUGAUGACUUUGCUGGGAUGGGCCCUGCCUUUGGAGUCUUAAAUGUCCAAAUACAUGCAAUCUUUCCCUGUCAGAUGCAGAGAACUCUGAUUAAC